CGAGUGAAGCGGCAAAAGCUCAAAUUUGAAAUCUGGCACCUUCGGUGUCCGAGUUGUAAUUUGAAGAUUGUAACCUUGGGGUUGGCUCUUGUCUAUGUUUCUUGGAACAGGACGUCACAGAGGGUGAGAAUCCCGUGCGAUGAGAUGCCCAAUCCUAUGUAAGGUGCUUUCGAAGAGUCGAGUUGUUUGGGAAUGCAGCUCUAAGUGGGUGGUAAAUUCCAUCUAAAGCUAAAUAUUGGCGAGAGACCGAUAGCGAACAAGUACAGUGAUGGAAAGAUGAAAAGAACUUUGAAAAGAGAGUGAAAAAGUACGUGAAAUUGUUGAAAGGGAAGGGUUUGAGAUCAGACUCGAUAUUUUGUGAGCCUUGCCUUCGUGGCGGGGUGACCCGCAGCUUAUCGGGCCAGCAUCGGUUUGGGCGGUAGGAUAAUGGCGUAGGAAUGUGACUUUGCUUCGGUGAAGUGUUAUAGCCUGCGUUGAUGCUGCCUGCCUAGACCGAGGACUGCGAUUUUAUCAAGGAUGCUGGCAUAAUGAU
rnacentral:rRNA from 1 species